rnacentral:misc_RNA from 1 species
GAUGAAGAACGUAGCGAAAUGCGAUACGUAAUGUGAAUUGCAGAAUUCAGUGAAUCAUCGAAUCUUUGAACGCAUAUUGCGCUCUCUGGUAUUCCGGAGAGCAUGCUUGUUUGAGUAUCAGUAAACACCUCAACUUCCAUAUCUUUUUUGAAAUGGGAGUUGGACUUGAGUGAUCCCAACGCUUUUCCUCACCGAAAGGUGGCGGGUUACUUGAAAUGCAGGUGCAGCUGGACUUUUCUCUGAGCUAUAAGCAUAUCUAUUUAGUCUGCCUAAAAAACAGAAUAUUACCUUUGCUGCAGCUAACAUAAAGGAGAUUAGUUCUUGUGCUGACUGAUGCAGGAUUCACAAAGACGGCUUCGGCCGACUUUGUAAACUCGAUCUCAAAUCAAGUAAGACUACCCGCUGAACUUAAGCAUAUCAAUAAGCGGAGGA